GAUGAAGAACGUAGCGAAAUGCGAUAAGUAAUGUGAAUUGCAGAAUUCAGUGAAUCAUCGAAUCUUUGAACGCACAUUGCGCCCGCCAGUAUUCUGGCGGGCAUGCCUGUUCGAGCGUCAUUUCAACCAUCAAGCCCCCGGCUUGUGUUGGGGACCUGCGGCUGCCGCAGGCCCUGAAAAGCAGUGGCGGGCUCGCUGUCACACCGAGCGUAGUAGAUUUCAUCUCGCUCAGGGCGUGCUGCGGGUUCCGGCCGUUAAACCACCUUCAUAACCCAAGGUUGACCUCGGAUCAGGUAGGAAGACCCGCUGAACUUAAGCAUAUAAAUAAGCGGAGGA
rnacentral:misc_RNA from 1 species